rnacentral:rRNA from 1 species
AACGAACGCUGGCGGCGUGCCUAACACAUGCAAGUCGAACGGGAAAGGGGCUUCGGCUCCGAGUAAAGUGGCGCACGGGUGAGUAACACGUGGGUAACCUGCCUCUAAGAUUGGGAUAACUCGUCGAAAGAUGAGCUAAUACCGAAUAAGACCACAGUUCCCGCGGGAACAGGGGUCAAAGGUAGCCUCUGCUUGCAAGCUAUCACUUAGAGAUGGGCCUGCGCACCAUUAGCUAGUUGGUAGGGUAACGGCCUACCAAGGCAAAGAUGGUUAGCUGGUCUGAGAGGAUGAUCAGCCACACUGGAACUGAGACACGGUCCAGACUCCUACGGGAGGCAGCAGUGGGGAAUAUUGCGCAAUGGGCGAAAGCUUGACGCAGCAACGCCGCGUGAGUGAUGAAGGCCUUCGGGUCGUAAAGCUCUGUCGGGAGGAACGAAUGCUCCUGAGGUUAACAGCCUCGGGAGGUGACGGUACCUUCAAAGGAAGCACCGGCUAACUCUGU